UGUUUAGGCAAAUCCGGACACUCUUAAGGCUGAGAACUGAUGACGGUGAGUCCAAGGACUCCGAAGUCGAUGAUGCCAUGCUUCCAAGAAAAGCCUCUAAGCUUCAGGUAAUUACGAAUCGUACCCUAAACCGACACAGGUGGUCAGGUAGAGAAUACCAAGGCGCUUGAGAGAACUCGGGUGAAGGAACUAGGCAAAAUGGUACCGUAACUUCGGGAGAAGGUACGCCGAUGAUUGUGAUGGGACUUGCUCCCUAAGCGAUCGUCGGUCGAAGAUACUAGGUGGCUGCGACUGUUUAUUAAAAACACAGCACUCUGCAAACUCGAAAGAGGACGUAUAGGGUGUGACGCCUGCCCGGUGCCGGAAGGUUAAUUGAUGGG
rnacentral:rRNA from 17 species